GAAGCUCUUCCAUUUUAGCACAGAGUUUAAUUUUCUUCGUUCUUUUUUUUCUUCGAAUAUUUUGGAAGGCCAGGUUGGGAAUUAUGCAAUGUUGUAGACUGAACUCGUCUCCCGUUUGAAGUUUUUGCUUGAAGUUGUAAGGCAGAAUACCUUUCGUUGUUUUGUCUUAAGGUAAACAAUUUUGUUUAUGUGUUUCCGAGUUGUGUUUAGUUCCAUUGUUUGCAUUAAUAGUAAAUGUGUCUGUCUUAGUUUGCGCAUUUAAUUUUUUUUCAUCAUCGCAUGGCAUUAUCGAUAAUUGUUAGCGUAUUGUUUUCUGAGCAUUUUCGAAUGUUCUUCAGUAAUAAAUCAUGGCUCAUGUAAUUUAUGAUUGUAAACCCUGAAGUGUAAGUUCGAUCCUAUACAUUGUAAAACUCUUAUUAAUUAUCCGAAAUGACAACAUUAUAUUGUUUGGUGAUUUUGUGGGUAUGUAGUCUGUGGGUUCGCUACUUUGAGGAUGAUAUGUUGCCCUAUUUUCUUGAUAUCCUGUUGUAUUUUCUGAAAGCUUGUUUUUUAUUCGUUUUUUUUUAAUCUGAAAUUUGGGAUCUUUUGGCAGAUUCGUCGUAUUUGCAGUUGGGGCCGAUGAACAUAGAUUUGAAUCUUUCUUUUGGAAAUGAUGGCGUUGAAGAUAGUGUUAGUGGGAGUAAGGGUCCAUCGUCAAUUCUUAACAAUGGCGAUGGAGGUGAGUUUGGAAAAUCGGAAGAAGAAAUUAAUGAGACGAGUAGCUCUCCUGAUGAAAGUGAAUUUGGUUCACAAUCC
rnacentral:lncRNA from 1 species